rnacentral:lncRNA from 1 species
UAAAAACUAGCAAUUUUUUUAACUCUUUAUAGUGGUGAUGUGUUCGGCUUACGGUUGUAAAAGCGACAGCAGCAGGAAAUAAGUGCGAAUUACAUUUUACAGUUUCGUUCUCGUUGCGGUCACUCCAGGGAGAGGGUAAAAAAUUUUCCAUACUCUAAGGU